rnacentral:rRNA from 1 species
GACGAACGCUGGCGGCGUGCUUAACACAUGCAAGUCGAACGGAAAGGCCCUGCUUUUGUGGGGUGCUCGAGUGGCGAACGGGUGAGUAACACGUGAGUAACCUGCCCUUGACUUUGGGAUAACUUCAGGAAACUGGGGCUAAUACCGGAUAGGAGCUCCUGCUGCAUGGUGGGGGUUGGAAAGUUUCGGCGGUUGGGGAUGGACUCGCGGCUUAUCAGCUUGUUGGUGGGGUAGUGGCUUACCAAGGCUUUGACGGGUAGCCGGCCUGAGAGGGUGACCGGCCACAUUGGGACUGAGAUACGGCCCAGACUCCUACGGGAGGCAGCAGUGGGGAAUAGUGCAUAAUGGGCGGAAGCCUGAUGCAGCAACGCCGCGUGCGGGAUGACGGCCUUCGGGUUGUAAACCGCUUUCGCCUGUGACGAAGCGUGAGUGACGGUAAUGGGUAAAGAAGCACCGGCUAACUACGUG